rnacentral:rRNA from 1 species
GACGAACGCUGGCGGCGUGCCUAAUACAUGCAAGUUGAGCGCUGAAGGUUGGUACUUGUACCAACUGGAUGAGCAGCGAACGGGUGAGUAACGCGUGGGGAAUCUGCCUUUGAGCGGGGGACAACAUUUGGAAACGAAUGCUAACACCGCAUAAAAACUUUAAACACAAGUUUUAAGUUUGAAAGAUGCAAUUGCAUCACUCAAAGAUGAUCCCGCGUUGUAUUAGCUAGUUGGUGAGGUAAAGGCUCACCAAGGCGAUGAUACAUAGCCGACCUGAGAGGGUGAUCGGCCACAUUGGGACUGAGACACGGCCCAAACUCCUACGGGAGGCAGCAGUAGGGAAUCUUCGGCAAUAGACGAAAGUCUGACCGAGCAACGCCGCGUGAGUGAAGAAGGUUUUCGGAUCGUAAAACUCUGUUGGUAGAGAAGAACGUUGGUGAGAGUGGAAAGCUCAUCAAGUGACGGUAACUACCCAGAAAGGGACGGCUAACUACGUG